UACAGAUGUAGAUACUGCAACAGUAGAGCCUAAAGGGUAUUUUCCACUUGUUGACUUUGUGGGACUGAACCAGCUUACUAGAAUCAUGAAUGGUUGUAAGACUUUCAUUAAUGGAGAGCUACUAUGAUGAAAUAUUUGGCAAUGUCUGCAAAUGGAAGGAUAAAACUGAGGUUUUUGUUUAAAAGAAUCAUGAAUAUAGGAGAUAUGAUGCUUCAAAGGCACUUAUAGAACACAAAUUUUAAUUAUCUGUCAAUAUCAUUAUCUAUUGUAGUAUUCAAUGCUUAUUUGUAGACCUUAUAGCAUUUGGAGUAGUUUCUUGAAAGGAUCA